rnacentral:rRNA from 1 species
UACGGGGGGGGGAAGGGUUGUUCGGAAUUACUGGGCGUAAAGGGCUCGUAGGCGGCCAACUAAGUCAGACGUGAAAUCCCUCAGCUUAACUGGGGAACUGCGUCUGAUACUGGAUGGCUUGGAUUCGGGAGAGGAAUGCGGAAUUCCAGGUGUAGCGGUGAAAUGCGUAGAUAUCUGGAGGAACACCGGUGGCGAAGGCGGCAUCCUGGACCGACACUGACACUGAGGAGCGAAAGCCAGGGGAGCAAACGGG